rnacentral:rRNA from 1 species
GGUUAGUGGAAUUUCCGGUGGAGCGGUGAAAUGCGUUGAUAUCGGAAGGAACGCCGAAAGCGAAAGCAGCUAACUACAGAAUACUUGACGAUGAGGGACGACAGUUCGGGUAGCAAACAGGAUUAGAUACCCUGGUAGUCCGAACCGUAAAUUAUGCUUGCUAGAUGUUUUUGUCAAUUUAUUGGCAGGAGUGUCGUAAUCUAACGAGUUAAGCAAGUCGCCUGGGUAGUAUAUUCGCAAGAAUGAAACUCAAAGGGAUAGGCGGGGGAACACACAAGCAGUGGAUUAUCUAGAUUAAUUGGAUACUAAGCCAAGAAUCUUACCUAGGAUUGACAUGUAUUGUGUCUGCGGUGAAAGUCGCAUAUCCGUAGCAAUACGGAGCUUUACACAGGUGGUGCAUGGUCGUCGUCAGCUCGUGCCGCAAGGUGUCUAGUUAAGUCUGGAAACGAGCGCAACCCUCAUGCUUAGUUAGUAUGUCUAAGCAGACUGCUCGGGUAACCGAGAGGAAGGAGAGGAUGACGUCAGAUCCUCAUGCCCCUUACACCUAGGGCCUCAUAGAUAAUACAAUGGGUAGGUACAGCGAGAAGCAAGACCGCGAGGUGGAGCAAAUCUUUAAAACUACCCCUAGUUCGGAUUGUAGUCUGGAACUCGACUACAUGAAGUUGGAAUUGCUAGUAAUGGCAGAUCAGCCAUGCUGCCGUGAAUACGUCCCUGUUCCUUGCACUCACCGCCCGUCAAACCAUGGGAGCUGAGGCUCUUUGAAGACUCAUUAUAUGGGUUAAGGAGGGAAUCAGUGACUGGGGUUAAGUCGUAACAAGGCAUCCCUACCGGAAGGUGGGGAUA